rnacentral:rRNA from 1 species
AUUGAACGCUGGCGGCAGGCUUAACACAUGCAAGUCGAGCGGGGGAAGGUAGCUUGCUACCGGACCUAGCGGCGGACGGGUGAGUAAUGCUUAGGAAUCUGCCUAUUAGUGGGGGACAACAUCUCGAGAGGGAUGCUAAUACCGCAUACGUCCUAGGGGAGAAAGCAGGGGAGCUUCGGACCUUGCGCUAAUAGAUGAGCCUAAGUCGGAUUAGCUAGUUGGUGGGGUAAAGGCCUACCAAGGCGGCGAUCUGUAGCGGGUCUGAGAGGAUGAUCCGCCACACUGGGACUGAGACACGGCCCAGACUCCUACGGGAGGCAGCAGUGGGGAAUAUUGGACAAUGGGGGGAAACCUGCUCCAGCCAUGCCGCGUGUGUGAAGAAGGCCUUAUGGUUGUAAAGCACUUUAAGCGAGGAGGAGGCUCUUUUGGUUAAUACCCAAGAUGAGUGGACGUUACUCGCAGAAUAAGCACCGGCUAACCCUGUGCCAGCCGCCGCAGUAA